ensembl:lncRNA
GUAAAACUUACAACAGCAAUAAUUGUUUACCAGAAGGUGUUAAUCCUACAAAUCCGGCAUCUAAUCAUCAGCAGUUUUUAAUAAGCUUACUGGCUAUUUUAAACAUUUUCUGGCUAUUUUAAACAUUUUCUUUAAAAAAAUAUAUAUAUCAAAUACAUUGAGCAUGUGUAAAAGUUUGAAUAAGACUCUCAUACACACAUAAAAAAAUAAUCUGAUCCAUUUUCUGUUCACACUUUAAACCCAGGAUUGACUUUCCCAGUAUUUUCCCAGCACACGUGCACAACCCCAUCAUCAUCAACUGCAGAGAAAACAAGUGUAUAAAGCAAGUGUAGAGUGCGUGUGCGUACCUUUUUUUGCUCCAGUAAGGGCAGAGAGUCUAUGAGCAGAGUCAUCCAGAAGCUGUGUGGAGAGAUCUUUGCUGUCAUGAGGGAGAGCAGGAGCUUCACCGCCUCUGUGAACUUCUUCUCUUCAUACACUCAUGGUACUUUAUUGUCAAAUGACAAAGCGCGGUGAUGCACAGUGGGAGCGUGAGUAAGAUCUGUAAUAUCAGUGUACAGUGUGAAUUUGUGUACAGUAUAUAACAUAGAAUGUCCCUCAUAGCUAUCUUCCCGAGCGGGAAUGGCACCAGCAGUUGGAAGAAAAAUGGAAGAACACACUUAACUGACAAGUCCUUUGCUCUGUUGCGGGAUGAAGCGUGGAGAAAACUGGGUAACGGCGGACGGCAGAGAUAAAGGAGGUGGAUAACGCUUAGUACGUGAGGUAACCACGAAGGGAGUCAGAAUGGUAGCUACUCACAUAGAGCCUGAUGAGACCAGAUAACAAGUAUGUGAUAUCAGUGUGCUUAUGAAUAGUUCAUGAUUAGGGUGAUACAGGUGUGGCAGGUUAGUACUCAGGUGAUUGUGAACAGGUAAGUGGAGCUGAAGGACCUGGUGUUGACGGUAUGCUGGAUGAAUCUGUGACAGAACACCCCCCCCCCC